UUUAUGGAGAGUUUGAUUCUGGCUCAGGAUGAACGCUGGCGGCGUGCUUAACACAUGCAAGUCGAACGAUGAAGCUGGAGCUUGCUCUGGUGGAUUAGUGGCGAACGGGUGAGUAACACGUGAGUAACCUGCCCUUCACUCUGGGAUAACAUCGAGAAAUCGAUGCUAAUACCGGAUACAUUCCGUAGGAGGCAUCUCCUAUGGAAGAAAGAACUUCGGUGAAGGAUGGACUCGCGGCUUAUCAGCUAGUAGGUGGGGUAAAGGCUCACCUAGGCUAUGACGAGUAUCCGGCCUGAGAGGGCGAACGGACACAUUGGGACUGAGAUACGGCCCAGACUCCUACGGGAGGCAGCAGUGGGGAAUAUUGCACAAUGGGCGCAAGCCUGAUGCAGCGACGCCGCGUGAAGGAUGACGGUCUUCGGAUUGUAAACUUCUGUCGUUAGGGAAGAAGCGAAAGUGACGGUACCUAACAAGAAAGGACCGGCUAACUACGUGCCAGCAGCCGCGGUAAUACGUAGGGUUCAAGCGUUAUCCGGAAUUAUUGGGCGUAAAGAGCUCGUAGGUGGCGUGUCGCGUCUGGUGUGAAAACUCCUGGCUUAACCAGGAGCCUGCAUCGGGUACGGGCAUGCUAGAGUAUGGUAGGGGAAACUGGAAUUCCUGGUGUAGCGGUGGAAUGCGCAGAUAUCAGGAAGAACACCAAUGGCGAAGGCAGGUUUCUGGGCCAUUACUGACGCUGAGGAGCGAAAGCGUGGGGAGCGAACAGGAUUAGAUACCCUGGUAGUCCACGCCGUAAACGUUGGGCACUAGAUGUGGGGACCUUCCACGGUUUCCGUAUCGCAGCUAACGCAUUAAGUGCCCCGCCUGGGGAGUACGGUCGCAAGGCUAAAACUCAAAGAAAUUGACGGGGAUCCGCACAAGCAGCGGAGCAUGCGGAUUAAUUCGAUGCAACGCGAAGAACCUUACCAAGGCUUGACAUAUACGGGAAAGUUUCCAGAGAUGGAGACCCUCUUCGGACUCGUAUACAGGUGGUGCAUGGUUGUCGUCAGCUCGUGUUGUGAAAUGUUGGGUUAAGUCCCGCAACGAGCGCAACCCUUGUCCUGUGUUACCAUCAUUCAGUUGGGGACUCACAGGAGACUGCCGGGGUCAACUCGGAGGAAGGUGGGGAUGACGUCAAAUCAUCAUGCCCCUUAUGUCUUGGGCUUCACGCAUGCUACAAUGGCUGGUACAGAGCGCUGCAAUACCGCAAGGUGGAGCUAAUCGCAAAAAGCCAGUCUCAGUUCGGAUUGGGGUCUGCAACUCGACCCCAUGAAGUCGGAGUUGCUAGUAAUCGUAGAUCAGCAACGCUACGGUGAAUACGUUCUCGGAUCUUGUACACACCGCCCGUCAAGUCAUGAAAGUCGGUAACACCCGAUGCCGGUGGUCCAACCAUUUUGGAGGGAGCCGUCUAAGGUGGGAUUGGCGAUUAGGACUAAGUCGUAACAAGGUAGCCGUAUCGGAAGGUGCGGCUGGAUCACCUCCUUU
rnacentral:rRNA from 1 species